GGAAGAGCACGUCUAAGUAAGUAGGUAGAAAUCACAGGCAAAUCCGUGAUUUUUAAUACCGAGAUACGAUGGGGAUCGAAAAACAAGUAGAGAAGCAACCAACUCCACACUGCCAAGAAAAGCCUCUAUCGAGCAAAUAAUUACCCGUACCGUAAACCGACACAGGUAGGUGAGGAGAGAAUCCUAAGACGAGCGGAAGAACCUUUGUUAAGGAACUCGGCAAAAUAACCCCGUAACUUCGGGGAGAAAGGGGUGCCAGUGAAAGAUAUAUCAAAACGAUAGAAAAAUCAGCUGGCCGCAGUGAAAAGGCCCAAGCGACUGUUUACCAAAAACACAAGUCUCUGCUAAGUUGAAAAACGAGUAUAGGGGCUGACACCUGCCCGGUGCUGGAAGGUUAGGGGAAUGCUUAGCAGAAAUGCGAAGGUAUGAACUUAAGCCCCAGUAAACGGCGGCCGUAAC
rnacentral:rRNA from 1 species